UCUCUACAACCGCUCGGAAAAGGUUUUAAAAAGCAUAUGCUUACCUUAAAGGCGAGUCUUAUUGA
rnacentral:sRNA from 1 species